AAAGGAAUUGACGGGGGCCCGCACAAGCGGUGGAGCAUGCGGGUUAAUAGGAUGAUACGCCAAGAACCUUACCAGGGCUUGAAAUGGCGCGGACAGCCUGUGAAAGCAGGUCUCCUGGGCAACCAGGUCGCGUCACAGAUGGUGCAUGGUUGUCGUCAGCUCGUGCCGUGAGGUGUUGGGUUAAGUCCCGCAACGAGCGCAACCCUCGCCAGAUGUUGCCAUCGGGCCUUCGGGUGCCGGGCACUCUUCUGGGACUGCCUGAGUAAUCAGGAGGAAGGAGAGGACGACGUCAAAUCUGCAUGCCUCUUACGCCCUGGGCUGCACGCGUGCUACAAUGGCGGGUACAAAGGGUUGCUAAGCCGCGAGGUGGAGCCAAUCCCCCAAAACCCGUCCCAGUUCGGAUCGGAUGUCUGCAACUCGACUCCGUGAAGGCGGAAUCGCUAGUAACCGUGGAUCAGCAAUGCCACGGUGAAUACGUUCCCGGGCCUUGUACACACCGCCCGU
rnacentral:rRNA from 1 species